rnacentral:misc_RNA from 1 species
GAUGAAGAACGUAGCGAAAUGCGAUAAGUAAUGCGAAUUGCAGAAUUUCCGUGAGUCAUCGAAUCUUUGAACGCACAUUGCGCCCGCCAGUAUUCUGGCGGGCAUGCCUGUCCGAGCGUCAUUUCAACCCUCAAGCCCCCGGGCUUGGUGUUGGAGAUCGGCGAGCCCCCCGGGGCGCGCCGUCUCCCAAAUAUAGUGGCGGUCCCGCUGUAGCUUCCUCUGCGUAGUAGCACACCUCGCACUGGGAAACAGCGUGGCCACGCCGUAAAACCCCCCACUUCUGAAAGGUUGACCUCGGAUCAGGUAGGAAUACCCGCUGAACUUAAGCAUAUCAAUAAGCGGAGGA